CUGGCAACCGCGAGGAAAAUGUAAAUAUAACUUCAUUAGCCUAAUUACCAAGUUUUUAAUUGAGUUGCACGGUACUACUUUCCAAUAUUUAUUUCUUCACAGAAGAAGGUCGUAUUCACUCAGAUUCGGGACAGCAAUGAUUUGUGCUCGUCUGCUGCGGGAGAAUGCGGAGACAUUACUUCAAUAAUAAGGAAUCUGGGUACUUCGAUACACAAAAUCGAGCCCUUUUGGAUUUGGUCAAGGACAACUUCAUAAACGUUUUGCAGACGAUUGUGAUUGGUGGUUAGCCUCACUUAAUUCCGCCUGGGUUUUGUCAGCUUCGUGAUAUCUCCCGAAUGUGUUUGGCUGAGAAGUAAUUACACGCUGGUCCUGGGAGAUGAUAAUGUCAUGGAUCAGACCCAAUCGAUGCAGGAUAAGAUGUCGAUAGUUUAGAUAGUAAUGAAUAGAUAGUAAUGAACACGAGACAAUAAAUAUAUAAAGAUACAUACAAAAGCUCAAUAAGUUUAUAACAAUAUAUGCAUAAAGGUUAGGUUAACAUAACAUGUUUAGGGUAUAUGUUAAACCGACUGCUUAUACUGGGUUACCGACUUGUUGAACCGACUGCUUAUACUGGGUUAUACUGGCCGAUUUGACAUUUGUUUACCAUUGUUAUC